CAAGUCGAGCGCAGGGAAAUUGCUGUCGUGGACAUUUGCGUAUGCAGUGACACGGUGUGGAAAUCAUUCCCUGUUGCGACCGUGAACUUGAAUAUCAGGGGAGAAAUAGACCGUCUCACGUAAACGGGAAUAAUUACCUUGCGGGCCAUAAAAGUACUUUUGAAGGCAAUCGUUCGGAUGACCAAUUGGAGUUAAUCUCAGCUUGUCUAGUAGUGGGACUCGCGCCGCACGCCAAUUACGCAUAGAUUGGAUGAGGUUGAACGGGCAUCAGGCAUGGUCAACCCAUGACGUGAGGCCCUGCCUGCACAGGGCUGAAUACGUCCCUACAGUUGAGGACAUGCAGACACGGGAAUCAUUACUCCAUACGGGGGAGCGCACGCCAUGUGUCGCGAAAUAUUGCCACAAUGGGUGGAAAACCCGUGCAUGCAGGCUUGCUACCAGCGUUGUUUUGAUGAAGGACCUAUCGGUGUUGUAAACCCUCUGUAAUUCAGGCGCCGGAUUAUGUUCGUGCCUGCAGGAGGAAGCCACAGCGCUAACUACCUGCCAUUCAUCCGCAAGUCAAUACGUAGGUGGCAAGAGUUGUCCGGAUUUACUGGUCGUAAAUGAAGCGUAGGCGGUUACUUAAGUGGUUUGUGUAAUACCUGGCCUUAAUUUGGUUGCUGACAUUCCUGACUGAAUUUCUAGAGUGUUGGAGAGAUAAAGUGGAAUUCCUAAUGAACACCGUGAAAUGCAUGCGAGAUUACUGAAGAACACCCUGUGGCCUAAGGCUACUUUCUGGAGCGAUAACUGACGCUAGUAUGCUCACCCAUGCGUGGGCCAGCCAACUAGAUUAUGAUACGCUGGUAGUCCACGACGUAGAUCAUGGGUACUACGUGUACGGGUAUCGACUCCCCCCUGUGC
rnacentral:rRNA from 1 species